rnacentral:rRNA from 1 species
UUACUCGGAUUCACUGGGCGUAAAGGGAGCGCAGGCGGGAUAGUGUGUUAGGUGUGAAAUGCCGGGGCUUAACUUCGGAGCUGCGCCUAAAACUAUUAUUCUAUAGUGCUGGAGAGGUAAGCGGAAUUUCCGGUGUAGCGGUAAAAUGCGCAGAUAUCGGAAGGAACACCGAAGGCGAAGGCAGCUUACUGGACAGAAACUGACGCUCAUGCUCGAAAGCGUGGGGAGCGAAAGGGAUUAGAUACCCCUGUAGUCCACGCCCUAAACGUUGUACACUAGGUAUUGGAGGAAUCAUCCCCUUCAGUGCCCCAGCUAACGCGAUAAGUGUACCGCCUGAGGACUACGACCGCAAGGUUAAAACUCAAAGAAAUUGACGGGGGCCCGCACAAGCGGUGGAGCAUGUGGCUUAAUUCGAUGCAACGCGAAGAA